AUUGUUAAACGUAGGGGUUAUAGUUAAAGUAGGGAUUAUUGAUUACUUAGAUCAGCAAAAAACUCAUUAAACUUUGUCUUCAAGUAACCCUUGACUUUAAAAUAUAAACACUAUUUAUUUGGUGUCAUUCAAAUGUUAAGUUUGUAUGUUACUUUACUACUGCUUUUCAAGGACCAUUUCGCUGAAGCUCACCAUCAUUGGUCACACCUGGUGAAGCUCACCAUUAAAUUGUUCGUCUUGUCCAUCUAGGUAAGUAUGAUUGUUAAACGUAGGGGUUAUAGUUAAAGUAGGGAUUAUUGAUUACUUAGAUCAGCAAAAAACUCAUUCAACUUUGUCUUCAAGUAACCCUUGACUUUAAAAUAUAAACACAUUAUAGGCAGACUGCAAGAACAAUGUAAAUGGCUAUACAUCAAACACUGCACAAACUGAUUCCAUUGUUCUAUACUCACUGUUACAGCUGUGCAAGAUAAUCCAGGCUUUACUACAAAUAUUAAGUAACUUGUUUAUGCAUUCAAAACCAUGAUUGGAUUGCAAUGCAAUGACAAUGUAGUACAAUUAUUUAAUCAUUAAAUGUAAAUAUGAAAAGUGUGUAUGUAUGUAUGUAUGUAUGUAUACAUAUCUAUCUAUACAUAUCUAUAGGCAUAUUUGUUUAAGAAUGUAACUAAUUUGUUGUUUUUUUUUUCUCUGUUUGUGUGUUGUCUAUCCUGUCCUGUCCUGUCCUGUCCUGUCAAUACCUUAUAUCCUUUUUCACUCCAACCUUUGUCUUGCUUGUUUGCUUAAACCUUUGCCGGUUUCUUACUUUCUCUUCACAAACAAACAAAAUAACUGGCCUGGCCUUUCCAAACGCUGCUGCUCUGCUUGCUGCUUGCUUGCUUGCACCCCAAACGCAACCUAUCUGCACUCUCCCCAUGCAAAACAUUCCAAACGCACCUAAGCAGCUUGCUAACGCACCUUAAAAAAAGAGCCAGAAUCCCAAAAAACAGAAGCCCAAACUUUGAAUCCAAAAAAACAGAACCCAAAACACCCAAACCCAAAAAAACAGAACCCAAAACACCCAAACCAAAAACACCCAAACCUAACCCCCAAACUUAACCCCCAAACUUGAACCCAUUUUUACAGUGCUGAAAGAAGGACGUGCUGUAGUUCCAGUCUGCCCUGCUGCCUUCUUGAUCAACGCUGAUCUGAGGACUACGUUGGAAAAUCAGCAACAGCAAAACACAUUUGUUUAAUAACCAGCUGUUUUCCUUCACAUAGUGUUCAUUUUCUAGUCUUGUCUGGAUCACAUAUUAAACUUUUGUAUCACUGA